CGUGGGUAAGACCAGACCGUUGGGACACUGUGGAUGCCGAGGGCCAAACAGAUGGCAGAGACUCCUGUGCUCGUCCGCUGCACGUUCUGGUUUUCCCCAUUUUCUCUCUCGGAAGAAUACAGCGGUGCGGUGCAGAGGCUACAGCAUGUGUGAUACUGCAACAGAGAGAGUGCAGAAACAAGGUCUGAGCCUUCUGUGGCCUUCUGUGGCCUUCCGCGCACAAAUGUAGCAUGGCGUCUCCUUACCGACAUGUAUUCUGGAAAAUAUGGCUAAUUUCCAUCAAAAAUGUUCUUUAACAGGAAGAUCACUCUGGAAGCAGCUGGAGGACCACCUGCGUGGGGAACAGAGGAGCGAAGAGGAGUGCAGGCCUUGCUUAGAUUCAGGUGAGAAA